GACACUCAAGCCAGAGAGAUAUUAAAUACGAUGGAUCAAACUCUUUACACUUUCAAAGGUAUAUCCCUACAGCUUUUGUUCCAUAACCACACUGGUAAAGACUUGGAAGAACCGAAGAAGCACACAAGCCUUCUGAUCCCCAACCAUGACUUCGUCUCUUAGCCGGGAAUUUGACCACCGGAAAUUCGGUUCCCAGCCCACAUUUCGUUCCACUACUCCCCCACUUCUUUAGUAUUAUUCUAGAUGACACUUCUAGAGAUAUUAAACUGGGGAUUCCGGAGGACUUUGUGUCUAAAUAUGGAAAAGAUCUAUCAAAUUCAGCAACUUUUAGGCUUCCAUGUGGUUCAGAAUGGGAAGUAGGAUUGACAAGGUACAAUGGUGAGGUUUGGUUUGAGAAGGGUUGGCCAGACUUCUCGAAGUUUUACUCACUUGGCUACAAUGACCUGCUGGUUUUCGGAUAUGAAGGGAAGUCUAGAUUUCAGGUUUCCAUAUUUGAUAAAAGCACAAUUGAGAUCGAGUAUCCCGUUAAAGUGCCUAACAUUGAAGAAAGUGAUGAACAUGAUGAUUCCUCUGUUGAAAUCUUGGAGGAUUUUCCACUGUAUCUAAGAAAAGCAAGAGAGACAUCUCGACUACCAAGUCCUCUGCCUCGCAUGAAAAACAGAACAGUUUCAAGUGGUACUGCAAAAAUCAAUCUCAGUUCUGAGAAGUCUAUGAAAAAGAAAGAGACACAUGGGUCCAAAUCAGGAAGAAAAAGGAAAGACCAUUUCCCAGUGAAAAAAGAAUGGGGAAGCACUUCUAGCACUAAGCGAUUCCAAACACAAACACCAGAGUCCAGAGGUUCAUUCAAAGGCUAAUGUUUUCAAAUCUCACAACUGCCCUUUCAGAAUGGUCAUCCGCCCCUCCUAUUUCAAUCAAAAUCUUUUGUACUACUAUUAUGCUUUCCAGAAAUCAUUUUCACAAGAAUAAAGGCUGAUAUGCUUGUCCUUUUUUUUUUUUUUUUCCAUAGAUUUAUGACUUUGACGGGGAUUACUGGGGAUGUUGGUCUUUCUUAGUUUGUUACAAACUUCUGUGAGAAACUGCCUCCCAAUGCCAAGUAACAUAAGCUUUUAUCAGUAAGGAAUCCUCCGACUAAUGGGGAAACAGGGAAUUUACGUACAUUUUCUGUUGUGGUGUUAAUAUAUUCCAUAGUAAAUAACCAUGCCUUUAUCACGUACAGUUACACGUCUGGAGUUCUGGAGAUUAUUUUUCUUGCUUUUUCUUUUGCUUAGUUAUUGAACCACUAUAUAUUACAUAGCAUUCAUGUAUUCUCUUUUCACAAAUGUGACAGUUGAAUAUGAACAAUACCUGCAUUGUGUACAAACUGUUAAACUAAUCAUGUCAUGCAAAAAUUUCUAGUAGUAAUGCUGUAUUAUAUAUUUUUUGCUGGUUGUCAUGGCCUCAUAAUUUCAUGCCAGAGCACAUUCUGAGACUCCUUCAUAUCGAGCCUCACAGUAAGUAAAUCAAGUGAUACCGUACAUUGUUAUCUGUUUUAUGCUAUCUCCUUUUGAGGGUUAAUUAAGGUGCUGUUUUGAAUUCGAUCCGGAAGUGAGUCAUUUAUCUUGUUAAGUUGAGGCAUUGGGUUAUUUUUUGAAGAACUAAAACAUCCUAUCUAGCAUGAACUAAAAACAAGCCAUUCAAACUACCAGGUUGAACUCCUUGGGGGAAAAGUCAUUACCAUAUAGUCCAAAUACACAGAGUUCUGUACAAAGUUUUCCUGUAUGUCACAUCCUGUGUUUCUGCAGGUUUUUGAAUGAAAUAAGAUGAGUCAUAUAUCAGUUCAUCAUUGUAUACGUAAAUUAUAUAUUUCUUUGGGUCAUACAUUUAAAUGAUAUUGAUGCUUCCAAUUCUUUAAAAAUAUUGCGGGCCAACAAAAUGAGUAGAGAGAGCUAUUUUCCAUCUUAAACUCUUCCUAUAAUAGACCUUUGAAGCAAUGCUGUUCUCUUUUGCUCUGGCAGCAGGUAACUUUUCGAGAAGUGAGUAACAAACACUCGUAACUUCUGAGAAUUGUGAUUAUUGGGAACAUUGAUUUAUGGCUCUAGGAAAUUCUAGAUGUAGGAAUUUAAGGAGGAUACUCUUAUGUUUCUGUCAUGUGCUAGGCAAAAUAGUUUCUUAAAAUUGAUCCACUCUGCAUUAGGAGGACAAUUUGUCCACAGGUACCAAACUACCAAUAACAGAGGUAAAGGUUUUAAAUAUGGAAUUGUUCAAAUAAAUAUUUUAAAUACAGAGGUAGUCGAUCUUAAAAUAUGGCUGUUAUGCAUCUGAAGAUGUUCAAAUAAAUACUAUAAGCAUGUAAUAAGUCAUCUGGAUUUUGAAGACUAUUCUUUAUUAGGAAUCUUCAUGACUUUUCUUCAUGUUUUCUGUGGUAUUCUUGUUGGCAGUAGGAGAAGCCAAAUUUUGGGAUGUGGCUAGUGAUAAAGAUCUAUGGGAAUGAUGACUCGGGUGAAGAAGAAUUUGUCCUUGUUAAUCAAGAAGAUAUAGUAGAGGGGAUUGCCUGGUUGUUUCGAUUAAACAGACUAAGGAACUCUAUACUCUGAGCAUCACUUACUUCCAAAGCCUUAAGAGUUUUUAUCAUUAUAAGACACCUAGUACACAACUUUAGUUAAGUAUACCCUGAAAAUUCCAGGCAGUAUUCGACAAGUGGAAUGUUGUCUUUGAACUAAAAUUUCUUAAUUGUCAAGCAGGGAAGGGCGACUGAAAGUCUACGAUGUAGCAUUAGUUGGUCGGUAUCCUCUUCUUUUCCAUUUUCAUAUGAUGAAGUUUUUGAAUUUAUCUAUAUCUAUUUGACAAGAGAAGCUGAUGUUACUGGUAUUAAAGCUAUACUCCCCGAAAAUGAAACUUAAAUUGGUAAUUAAUGAUAUCUUAGGUAAAUUUAUUCAGCAGCUAAUUGCAUAUGUCAUAUACAUGCAUUAUCGUACUUUUUGUUUGAGUUCUUUUUGUUAAGGGAUUAUAUGCAUCUUGUGAAGUUGGCAGCCUAUAAAAUUGUUAUGCCUCUUGUUAACUGGUCCUCAUUUGUCUCUUUUUUCCUCUUGAUUGAUUGGCACAAAAUAGGUUUAAAAUAUGUACUCGUACUAGAACAUGACCCAUAACUUAUUUUCAGUUUUUGUUAUUUCCUGUGAUCUGUCUAGUUUGUCUGUUUCUGAUGUCCCAUAUUGCUGAUAUAAUAGUUUGACUCCAUGCCAUGGAACACCAAUGAUGCUGAUUGGGAAUAAAAUGAAAAUUCUGUAAAUGAAAUAACAACUGUUAUGGACAAGUUACCGAGAUUCAAAACCCCCAGGAGUGUAGUUAAGCUUGUCUUGUGUCUUGGAUAAUAUAAUUGAGUCAUUGGAUAUAAGAAUAAUAUUGCUACAAGAAAUUAUUCGGAGUAUAUGAAACUAGCAGACCUGAGGCUAGAGGCCAGGGUCAAGUGGGGAGUGAGGAAGUUGAGAAGCAAGUGUGGGUAGCCUUGUGAUGUGUGCCUGUAGAGCUAAUAGUGAGGCCUGGCAGGAGCAAUGUGGUUGCUAUGUUGGAAGGCAGAUUACCUGUAGGGGAAGCCCAGGAUUGAGGCACUUAAAUUUUUAUAGUUUUAUGGUGGAAAAUUCACUGGGGCAUUCACAAAGUUUACAGGGACGGGGUGCUGUAGAGAAGAAGUUCUUUCCUACAAGGCAGAUGAAUUUACAUACCGCUGACUGUAGUGAAACUGCAAACAUUGCUUGAGUCAAUUCUUUGUCUUGCAACUUUCGGAGACAGAGCUCUAAGCUCUUGUUGGACGCAAUUUUCUUCUUUCUUUUUAUAUAUUAUUUUUCUCAGUGAAUGAGCUGUACGCAUAUUCAGACGUAAGGUGAUGUGUUCAUGGACUAAGAAAAUAGCAAAGUUCAUAUUUUCUGAAGUUAGAUAGGAGAAAUUAUAUAUUAGAGUUGUUGUGUCCAUGGAAGAUGGUCAUAUUAAUCCAUGGUAGAGGGAGUGAAAACCCAGCUUCAUCAGCUGUUUCAGAGCUGAAGCAGAACUCAUUCCAUUUCUUUAACCAUUUGUGAUGGGUUCAAUGAGUACAUUGUACUUAUCUUUGGCUGUGCCUUCAUCUUAAGCUGUGUACUCCUCCCUUCUUUCACUGUCUCAGAACCCAUCCAUACUCACUCCCUUGUUCCAAAUUUCACAGCCACCUAUCUCGAAUUCAUUGAGAAAUCUGGUGCUUUCUUGGCCUCCAGUAAUGGCACUUUCAAGGCCUUUAUCACUAAAGAAAGUUUGUAUAGAGUUUCCUACUUCUCUGUCAUCCACACAGCCUCUAACACUACCAUCUGGUAGGGCAACGAAAAAAUACCCAUUUCACCUUCUGCUAAGGUUUUACUAGCCAUCCAUGGCCUUAGCAUCACCAAUGACUCGAACAACGUUGUAUGGUCCACACCAUUAUUGAACUCUCCGGUUACUGCUCUCCAGCUUUUAGAAGCCGGGAACCUGGUCUUAGUUGAUGCUCAAAAUGUGACUCUCUGUGAGACUUUUGAGCACCCUACAGAUACAGACAUACAGUUGUCAUGGGUAAAAGAUUGCAUGUUGGUAAAUCUCUGCUUACACGUAGGGACCAUGCCAAGGGUGAUUAUAGUCUUACAGUUACCAGUGAGGACCUGGUGCUUCAGUGGAAGGGCCAGACUUGGCAUGCCUAUCAGUUCAUCAUCAACAAUGUAGUCACAUUUAUGCUCAGGAGGUUAGAAGGGAAGACGUGUAUGGUGGACAGGAGAUAUGACAUCAUUGUUAGCCCAGCAAGGAAGGAACUCCGGUUAUGAGAAUAUAAGCUAGUUUUAAUUUGGUUAUCAAUUGGGAUGAAAAACAAAAAGCAAAACAGAAAUUGCAGGUUUCUUUCUUGCUUUGGCAGUAUAAGAUUUCGGUUGUGAUUCGUUCUUCUAAUCUCAACAACCUUUUACGUUAUGUGUCAUAACAUGAAGGAACUUAAAUCA